UAGAUUUUGGUGUCAAUGGAUCUGGCUGCAAAUCUUGGCUCCAUUAUAUCAGCUGUGACCUUGGGUGGUCAACGGGGAUGACAGAUGCUUGAUAAUUCAGCCACGCCCCACACUGGAACUCCAGAGGCAGCUAGAGAAACUUACGCAUGAUUCCUAGAGCUUCAUUUGUGGCUCUCUUCUGAAAUGGUGACUUUGUUUUCUCCAUUUUUUUAUUUCUCUGCAGUGCUUCAAAUCUGUGACUUUGUGGCACCCAGGGCAGUUAAGGAAUGGGAAAGAAAGGCUGUCUCUGUUUCCUUUCCAAACCCCAGGGCCACAUGAAUCUGGACGCCACACUUCCGUGUUCACAUUAGAAAUGCCCUCCUUCCCCAGCAGCCCCCAUUGGAUGCAUUCAGAUGACUCGUAUCUUAGCAAGAAGGUACAACCACACGAGCCACUUCAGAGCACCUUAAUUCUCAUAAGACCUGGAUCUGAGGACAUGGCCAAGUAAAUCUCUCCAAGUUUCUCCAGCCCAGCCAUUUGCCUGCAUUAAAAUAACCUGGGUGUGCACACUCUGCUUUAACUCCUUCCAAGUACCCCAUAAACCAGCCUCAGUGGAGUGCAUGGGCGUGAAGAAAGCUCACCCCCUCAGUCACUUCCUCCACCAUUUCAGAGCCGGGCUGGCCAAGUUCACCCGUCUCCUGAAGAGGAUCCAGUAGAAAGUGGGCACACCCACCUUCUCCAUUAACUCAGAUAAACUGUUCCAUCUGCGUCAGGUGAACUCACUUUUCCAUGUUGCGACCAAAUGUUUCAAAUUUCUUAUAGCAGGGGACCCAGAUCAAAUUUAACAAGACCUGCCAUCUCUACAGCUUUGCCCAACAUCCAACACCACCUGAAAGAAGCUACUUGAGGUCACAUAAGAAGGAAAAAGGCUCCGAUCUGAGGCAUGUUUUGGAGACCUUGGGGAGACUCCUUGAACUUUCACAGCUUCCUGAUACUUGUUACUUUCAGCACCUACCAUCGAAUUCCACAGAAGGAUUAGCAGCUUUGGGGCUCUGGCUACCUGUAAUUGGGCAGCUGAGAGGAUGUGAUCAUCAGCUGAUGUGAACCCUGACUCACCCAACCCUCUUCUAUGUGCCUUUGCUGAGCACCACGUGCUGGAUUUCAGCUCCCAUUGUAUGCCAGAGGAAUUCAGCAAGAGAGCCUCAGCGCAAUUGCAAAACGAUCGCACGGAGAACAGGCACAGCCCAGACCACCUGACUUUGACUGGUUCCAGCAUCCUCUAAAUUGAAUUCACAUUAGAUAGAUGAGCCCAUUGGAAGAAUAUAAUACAGUGAAGCAGGAAUUACUCUGCCUUUGAUGGGAGAAGUCAGAGUUUCCAAAAGGAUGGAGUAAGAUUAACACAACACAACUCAUUGCCCAGGCAUGCAAGUGUUGCCACGCACGGACAGACCUCUCGUGCCUCCACUGCGUUCCCUCCCUCGGUGACAGGAAACCCAUUGGAUUCCAGCACCCGCAGAGCUCUGGCAGCCAUUGGCCCCAAAGCUCUACCUCCUGCCUUUCGUCAAAAGCUGGAAGCAAAUCAAUGUCCAUCAACCAGAGAAUGGAUAAGCAAAUCGUAGCAUGUUCUUACAAUGGAACAGAGCUCAGAGCAAUGGAGUAGGAACUCCUCACCAGCAUGCACAGAUGCACAAAUAGCGCGGUGAGUCAAGACAGAUUCAAAGGGGCACAUGAAUGGUUCCACUUACGUGAAGUUCUACACCAGGCAAAAACAAUCAAAAGUGAAAAAAUGAAAUCUGUGGCUGCCUCUGAAUGGGAAAGGAGUAGAAGGAGAGAUGAGGGAAUUUUUCUGGGGAGAUGGAAAUAUUCUAUAUUGUGAUGAGGUAUAGGUUACAAGUGAGUAUUCACUUGUCAAAAUUGUAUAGUUAAGAUUUGUGCAUCGUAAUGUGUAGAAAUUUUACCUAAAAGAACCAACAGUAAAAAUUAAAAUAGUUCUGUAUCUGGGAUGGGGGUGGGUAGAGAUACAGAUCAAACAAUAAUGGCAGAAUAUUGAUAAUUAUUGAAGCUAGGUGUUGGGUACAUGGAGGUUCGUUAUAUUUUAUUCACUUUGUAUGCAUUUGAAAUUUUCUGUAAUAAAAGUUUUAAAAUAACUGAUAUAUAAUUCCUUUUGAUGACAGUAAGAACCACUGAGCAUUAUCUAGUAUAUUUAAUUGGCUGUAAGUUAAAAAUGAGAAAUUAAGUGGCUUAUACCAUGAACGUAUUUCUCUUUAUUUCUUGGAUCAUUUUCAUUUGUUUCAAUGUUUAAAAAUAGAAGAGAGGUCAUUAGUAUAAUGUGGUGGUAGUAUUGAGCUUUGUAACUAACAUUUUUUCAGAUAACAGGUGAAAAAAUUUUGGUUUUAUUUGAAAAUUCACAAAUCUUCACAUCAGCAACUUGUAUGAGAAUAUAUUUG